rnacentral:rRNA from 1 species
AGUUUGAUCCUGGCUCAAGACGAACGCUGGCGGCGCGCCUAACACAUGCAAGUCAAACGGAGUUGUGUUGAAAGCUUGCUGGAUAUACAACUUAUUGGCGGACGGGUGAGUAACACGUGAGUAACCUGCCUCUCAUAGUGGAAUAACGUUUGGAAACGAACGCUAAUACCGCAUAACGUGAGAAGAGGGCAUCCUCUUUUUACCAAAGAUUUAUCGCAUGACAGAUGGGCUCGCGGCCGAUUAGGUAGUUGGUGAGAUAACACCCCACCAAGCCGACGAUCGGUAGCCGGACUGAGAGGUUGAUCGGCCACCUUGGGAAUGAGACCCGGCCCAGACUUCUUCGGGAGGCAGCAGUGGGGGAUAUUGCACAAUGGGGGAAACCCUGAUGCAGGGACGCCGCGUGAGGGAAGACGGUUUUUGGAUAGUAAACGUUUGUUUUUCGGGAAGAAAAAAUGACGGUCCUUAAGGAGGAACCCACGGCUAAUUACGUGCCACCAGCCGCGGUAAUAGGUAGGUGCCAAGCUUUUUCCGGAAUUAUUGGGUGUAAAGGGAGGGUAGGCGCGGAGCCAAUUUGAAUGUAUAAUCUAUGGGUUUACCUGAUAGUUGCGUUCAAAACUAUCACUCUUGAGUGCAGUAGAGGUAGGCGGAAUUCCUAGUGUAGCGGUGAAAUGCGUAGAUAUUAGGAGGAACACCAGUGGCGAAGGCGGCUUACUGGGCUGUAACUGACGCUGAGGCUCGAAAGCGUGGGUAGCAAACAGGAUUAGAUACCCUGGUAGUCCACGCCGUAAACGAUGAUUAUUAGGUGUGGGGGGACUGACCCCUUCCGUGCCGGAGUUAACACAAUAAGUAAUCCACCUGGGGAGUACGGCCGCAAGGUUGAAACUCAAAGGAAUUGUCGGGGGCCCGCACAAGCAGUGGAGUAUGUGGUUUAAUUCGAAGCAACGCGAAGAUCCUUACCAGGUCUUGACAUGGAGCGACGAACUUAGAGAUAAGUUCUUCCUUUGGGACGCGAAGACAGGUGGUGCAGGGUUGUGGUCAGCUCGUGUUGUGAGAUGUUGGGUUAAGUCCUGCAAGGAGCGCAACCCUUAUCAUUAGUUGUUACGCAAGAGCACUCCUAAUGAGACUGCCGUUGAUAAAACGGAGGAAGGUGGGGAUGACGUCAAAUCAUCAUGCCCCUUAUGACUUGGGCUACACAGGUAUUACAAUGGUGAUUAAACAGAGGGAAGCAACACAGCGAUGUGAAGCAAAUCCCGAAAAAUCAUCUCAGUUCAGAUUUCAGGUUGCAAUUCGCGUGCAUGAAGUCGGAAUUGUUAGUAAUCGCGGAUCAGCAUGCCGCGGUGAAUAAGUUCCCGGCCCUUGUACUCACCGCCCGUCA